rnacentral:rRNA from 1 species
UACAGAGGGGGCAAGCGUUAUUCGGAAUUAUUGGGCGUAAAGAGCUCGUAGGCGGCUUGGCAAGUCGGGUGUGAAAACUCCAGGCUCAACCUGGAGACGCCACCCGAUACUGCCAUGGCUAGAGUCCGGUAGGGGACCACGGAAUUCCUGGUGUAGCGGUGAAAUGCGCAGAUAUCAGGAGGAACACCGGUGGCGAAGGCGGUGGUCUGGGCCGGAACUGACACUGAGGGACGAAAGCUAGGGGAGCGAAUGGG